rnacentral:lncRNA from 1 species
GUGUAUUACACUAGCAAGCAGAUCGUAUAGGCCAUUAAAAAUUAUUGAUUUUGUGAUCCUUUGAUCACUACGUAAGUAAUUUUUAAAAUUCAUGAAAUUUAGUUUUUAAACACUUUAAAUAUUCUACAUCAAGUUUAAUGGUUCUGAUCAUCGAUUCAAAAUUCCUAUCAUCUAAAAUGAUUUAGGAGGACGAAAACCUCCGUUCUCCUAAAAGAAUAGUAGCUGGAUUCUUAUAUAAAUAUACAUAUAUAGACACACACACUGACACACUAUGUUAUGACUUUCGAAUUGACGAUCUACUAUAUUAGACUUGAUGAAGUAGCUUCAAAAUAAAUUUUGUAAUUUUUCGAUAUCAUUUGGCUAGUAAUCUGUUUCGGAGUGACCAAAAAUCAAUAAUUUAAAUGAUCUUAGUGAGAAGUUUAUAAGUUUAACAGUAUAAAAAUAUUCAAAUCACGUAAAAUUUUAAUUAAAAAUUUUUUAUACUAUAUAGAACAAGAUUAAUAUUUUUGAUCUAAAAUUUUAGUUCAUAUCAUUAAUUUUUAUAAGUUUUUUAUUUUCGGCUGUUGAUUUAGAGCUAUUUCGAACACUAGAUAAAUAAUAUUAAAAAAUAACAAAAUUUAUUUUUUAAAUACUUCGAAUACUCUAGAUUAAGUCUAACUGAGUCGAUCGUUAAUUCACAAAUUCUAGAAUAAAAAACGACUUGAUAACACGAAAACAACAGUACUUCUAAAAGCACACAAGCCAAACUAUUCCAAAUCACUAAUCGAACGAUCAAACAAUUGCAAAAUUUGUAAGUAUGACGUGUUUACUCGUUUAACAGUAUAAAAAAUUUCAAAUCAGUUGAAUUUCUAUUGGAAAAUUUUUUAAACUAUUUAAAAUAUGAUCUAAACUCUAGAUCUUAAAUAUAAAAAUUGUAUUAUCAUUUUUUUUAAGAAUAUUUAUUUUAUGUAUAUUUGGUGAACCAGAGAAUGAUACCGAAAAAAAAAUAAUAAUAAUUUCCAACUUAUUUAAAUGGUUUAGAUCUUGUUUAAUAAUGUCGAUUGUCGAUUUUUGAAGUUUUAUCAUCGAAAAUAAAUCGGUGAAUAGUUUAUUAUUAUCUAUAGAGUUG